AUUGAACGCUGGCGGCAGGCCUAACACAUGCAAGUCGAACGAGUGGCGGACGGGUGAGUAAUGUCUGGGAAACUGCCCGAUGGAGGGGGGUAACUACUGGAAACGGUAGCUAAUACCGCAUACCAUCGGAUGUGCCCAGAUGGGAUUAGCUAGUAGGUGGGGUAACGGCUCACCGAGGCGACGAUCCCUAGCUGGUCUGAGAGGAUGACCAGCCACACUGGAACUGAGACACGGUCCAGACUCCUACGGGAGGCAGCAGUGGGGAAGAUUGCACAAUGGGCGCAAGCCUGAUGCAGCCAUGCCGCGUGUAUGAAGAAGGCCUUCGGGUUGUAAAGUACGUUCAGCGGGGAGGCGGUACUCGAAGAAGAAGCACCGGCUAACUCCGGGCCAGCAGCCGCGGUAAUAC
rnacentral:rRNA from 1 species